rnacentral:piRNA from 1 species
GCAGAUAUACAUGGAAGCAGACUGUUG